rnacentral:rRNA from 1 species
AUUGAACGCUGGCGGAAUGCUUUACACAUGCAAGUCGAACGGUAGAGGGGGCAACCCCUCGAGAGUGGCGAACGGGUGAGUAAUAUAUCGGAACGUGCCCAGUCGUGGGGGAUAACGUAGCGAAAGUUACGCUAAUACCGCAUACGAUCUAAGGAUGAAAGCGGGGGAUCGCAAGACCUCGCGCGAUUGGAGCGGCCGAUAUCAGAUUAGGUAGUUGGUGGGGUAAAGGCCCACCAAGCCAACGAUCUGUAGCUGGUCUGAGAGGACGACCCUACAAACUGGAACUAAGACACGGUCCAGACUCCGACGGGAGGAAGCAGUGGGGAAUUUUGGACAAUGGGCGAAAGCCUGAUCCAGCAAUGCCGCGUGUGUGAAGAAGGCCUUCGGGUUGUAAAGCACUUUUGUCCGGAAAGAAAUGGCUCUGGUUAAUACCUGGGGUCGAUGACGGUACCGGAAGAAUAAGGACCGGCUAACUACGUGCCAGCCGCCGCCGUAA